GACGAACGCUGGCGGCGUGCUUAACACAUGCGAGUCGAACGGAAAGGCCCUGCUUUUGUGGGGUGCUCGAGUGGCGAACGGGUGAGUAACACGUGAGUAACCUGCCCUUGACUUUGGGAUAACUUCAGGAAACUGGGGCUAAUACCGGAUAGGAGCUCCUGCUGCAUGGUGGGGGUUGGAAAGUUUCGGCGGUUGGGGAUGGACUCGCGGCUUAUCAGCUUGUUGGUGGGGUAGUGGCUUACCAAGGCUUUGACGGGUAGCCGGCCUGAGAGGGUGACCGGCCACAUUGGGACUGAGAUACGGCCCAAACUCCUACGGGAGGCAGCAGUGGGGAAUAUUGCACAAUGGGCGGAAGCCUGAUGCAGCAACGCCGCGUGCGGGAUGACGGCCUUCGGGUUGUAAACCGCUUUCGCCUGUGACGAAGCGUGAGUGACGGUAAUGGGUAAAGAAGCACCGGCUAACUACGUG
rnacentral:rRNA from 1 species